rnacentral:sRNA from 1 species
GCUGGGCAAGGUGGUGCACGCCUGUUAUCCCAGAAGCUCAGGAGGCUGAGGCUGGAGGAUCAGAAGGCGGAGGCCAGCCUCAACAUCUUAGCAAGGCCCUAAGCAACUCAGUGAGACCCUGUCUCUAAAUAAAAUACAAAACGGGGUCUCGCUGAGUUGCUUAGGGCCUCACUAAGUUGCUGAGGCUGGCCUCCAACUUUCGAUCCUCCUGCCU